AGACCAUGAUGUGGAUAUUUUCUCAGUAGGUCUUUAUAUCUCUCCCAUGCUUCAUAUAAUGAUUCCAUCUUGAACUGAUUAAAGGUAGUGAUGUCAUUUCUCAAUUU
rfam:Citrus sinensis cultivar Ridge Pineapple sweet orange scaffold00005_contig_185, whole genome shotgun sequence.